CGACCAACCACCAACUACGACACCCUCCACAGGACCAGUGACUCUGUGUACAAUGUAAUACAGACAAAGGACAGCAGAACUGAAGAUGACUAUGAAAACAGAAACUUUGGGAAACCCAAGUAGGAGUUGUGGCCUAGAAUCUAGCUAAAUACAAAAUACUGUGGUGCUCAGGUUGAAGACGUGUUUCCAAUCUCUCCUGAGGCCUGCUUGUCUUAAGCCAUUUUCCCCUGUUUUUUUUUUUUUUUUUUUUUUUUUUGUUGUUGUUGUUUGUUUUGUUUGUUUUAUAUCUCUAAAUGACAAUAGUCCAAAUAAUUAAUCAUAUCUAAAUGACAGAACUGGUAUCAUAUGAAUUGCGGGGUCAGUAAGAUUUCUCUCUCUCUCUCUCUCUCUCUCUCUCUCUCUCUGGGAAAUUAAUUCUUUUAUUCAGCUAGGAUGCAGUACAUUGUUCAAAAGCGACAAGUACAUUUACAAUGUUACAAAAGAUUUCUAUUUCAAAUAAAUGUUGUUCUUUAAAAAAAACUGUUUUCAACACUGAUAAUAAUUGAUAAUUUUAAUAAACAAAAUAAUUUUAACAACAAAAAAAUAAUAAGAAAUAUUACUUCAGCACCAAAUCAGCAUAUUAGAAUGCUUUCAGUAAAAAAUCUGAAGACUGGCAUAAUGACUCCUGAAAAUUUGCUUUGUUAUCACAGGAAUAAAUUUUAUAAUUAAUUAUUUAAUAAUAUUAUACAGUAAUAUUAUUUCACAAUAUUUUGCUGUUUUACUGUAAUUUUGAUCAAAUAAAUGCACCAUUAGCAUGAGACUUCUUUCAAAAACAUUUAAAAAUCUUGCAGACCCCUAAACCUUUUAACAAUAGUGUAUAAUAUCCACACAAGCUUUUCAUCUAUACAUGUUAAAUCAUAUAAAUAGAAUUAUAUAUUAAAUAUUAUAUUUUAUAUAUAUAUACAGACAUUGGGUUACAAAAUUUCCUGGUUUAGUACAGAAGCAUCUAUCUUCUUCUUUCGCCACGACAAUAAUAAGUAACUUGUAUUUGUGUAUCAAAUAUGUUUGUGUUUUUUACUUGGGUUGAAGAUAUGUGAUAUGUGAUAUGUGAUCUACUCAUAAAUACUUUGAAAAAAAAAUGAAUGAAUAAAUAUUUUUCCUCUCA